rnacentral:rRNA from 1 species
UACGUAGGGUGCAAGCGUUGUCCGGAAUUAUUGGGCGUAAAGAGCUCGUAGGCGGUUUGUCACGUCUGCUGUGAAAACGCGAGGCUCAACCUCGCGCCUGCAGUGGGUACGGGCAGACUAGAGUGCGGUAGGGGAGAUUGGAAUUCCUGGUGUAGCGGUGGAAUGCGCAGAUAUCAGGAGGAACACCGAUGGCGAAGGCAGAUCUCUGGGCCGUAACUGACGCUGAGGAGCGAAAGCAUGGGGAGCGAACAGG